GAUGAACGCUGACAGAAUGCUUAACACAUGCAAGUCUACUUGAACUUCGGUUUGGGUGGCGGACGGGUGAGUAACGCGUAAAGAACUUGCCUCACAGAUAGGGACAACAUUUGGAAACGAAUGCUAAUACCUGAUAUUAUGAUUUUAGGGCAUCCUAGAAUUAUGAAAGCUAUAUGCACUGUGAGAGAGCUUUGCGUCCCAUUAGCUAGUUGGAGAGGUAACGGCUCACCAAGGCGAUGAUGGGUAGCCGGCCUGAGAGGGUGAUCGGCCACAAGGGGACUGAGACACGGCCCUUACUCCUACGGGAGGCAGCAGUGGGGAAUAUUGGACAAUGGACCAAGAGUCUGAUCCAGCAAUUCUGUGUGCACGAUGAAGUUUUUCGGAAUGUAAAGUGCUUUCAGCUGGGAAGAAAAAAAUGACGGUACCAACAGAAGAAGUGACGGCUAAAUACGUG
rnacentral:rRNA from 1 species